AGACCAUGGUAAGGACAUUUCCUAAGCAUUUUCUUAAAUCUUUCCCACAACUCAUAUAAGGAUUCAUCACCAAAUUGUGAAAAAAUUGUUAUGACAUUUUUUUAAUUU